ensembl:lncRNA
UUUGGUCUUCAGUAUCUUCUCCUCAUUUACUGUGUCAGCUUUGCAGACGAAAGGGAAAGGAGGAAGAGCUCUGCGACAGCCAAAACAUGAAGUGCAAAAGACACAGGAAGUCCACAAAAUCCACAUUAGCUGCUCUUUCACCUCUGCUCGUCUGUGCAGCAAAGCCUCCGUGCUUAGCAUCAGUGCAAGUAACAUCCAUCGCAUCUCUGAGCUGUGGGUACAAUGCCUGUGAGGGAUGGGAUGUGUCCCUCCAUCUGCAGCAGCACAGGACUCCUUGCUUGGUCAUGUGGAGCAUGUCUGCACUGGGGUAACGAUUGCUGUGAUCAGUGCACAGCAGACCUCCUUCCUAACCAUCUGUGGAUGCCCUCUUGUCUUUGCUGCCUGUCUUUUAAAAUAUGAAACAUCAGAUGAGAUAUCGUGUGGCAAGAAUAGGUUGCGUCUCUUCAGAUGCUGUGUUGUUAAACCAUGGAGAUCAUUGUCAGAUGCUUGGAUGUUUUGGGCACCAAACUUUCUGAGAUGGGUUCAAAGAGAGCUUAAAUAAAAUUAUAG